CCCAGACUCCUACGGGAGGCAGCAGUGGGGGAUAUUGGACAAUGGGGGGAACCCUGAUCCAGCGACGCCGCGUGAGUGAAGAAGUAUUUCGGUAUGUAAAGCUCUGUCAGCAGGGAAGAAAGCAAUGACGGUACCUGACCAAGAAGCCCCGACUAACUACGUGCCAGCAGCCGCGGUAAUACGUAGGGGGCAAGCGUUAUCCGGAAUUACUGGGUGUAAAGGGAGCGUAGACGGCUGUGCAAGUCUGGAGUGAAAUGCCGGGGCUUAACCCCGGAACUGCUUUGGAAACUGUGCAGCUAGAGUGCAGGAGAGGUAAGUGGAAUUCCUAGUGUAGCGGUGAAAUGCGUAGAUAUUAGGAGGAACACCAGUGGCGAAGGCGGCUUACUGGACUGUAACUGACGUUGAGGCUCGAAAGCGUGGGGAGCAAACAGGAUUAGAUACCCGUGUA
rnacentral:rRNA from 1 species